GGCCGCGGGAAUUCGAUUCAGGCCUAACACAUGCAAGUCGAGCGGGAACUUCGGUUCUAGCGGCGGACGGGUGAGUAAUGUAUAGGGAGCUGCCCGACAGAGGGGGAUACCAGUUGGAAACGACUGUUAAUACCGCAUAACGUCUACGGACCAAAGUAUGGGACCUUCGGGCCAUAUGCUGUCGGAUGCACCUAUAUGGGAUUAGCUAGUUGGUGGGGUAACGGCUCACCAAGGCGACGAUCCCUAGCUGGUUUGAGAGGAUGAUCAGCCACACUGGAACUGAGACACGGUCCAGACUCCUACGGGAGGCAGCAGUGGGGAAUAUUGGACAAUGGGCGCAAGCCUGAUCCAGCCAUGCCGCGUGUGUGAAGAAGGCCUUCGGGUUGUAAAGCACUUUCAGCGAGGAGGAAGGGGUGUGUGUUAAUAGCACAUAUCUUGACGUACUCGCAG
rnacentral:rRNA from 1 species